GCCCGCACAAGCGGUGGAGCAUGUGGUUUAAUUCGACGCAACGCGAAGAACCUUACCCAGGCUUGAACUGCAGAUGACAUCCUACGAAAGUAGGCUUCCGCAAGGACGUCUGUAGAGGUGCUGCAUGGCUGUCGUCAGCUCGUGUCGUGAGAUGUUGGGUUAAGUCCCGCAACGAGCGCAACCCUUGUCUUCUGUUGCCAUCAGGUUAAGCUGGGCACUCUGAAGAGACUGCCGGUGACAAACCGGAGGAAGGUGGGGAUGACGUCAAGUCAGCAUGGCCUUUAUGUCUGGGGCCACACACGUGCUACAAUGGCCGGUACAAACCGUCGCGAUACCGUAAGGUGGAGCUAAUCGGAGAAAGCCGGUCUCAGUUCGGAUUGUAGGCUGCAACUCGCCUGCAUGAAGUUGGAAUCGCUAGUAAUCGCGGAUCAGCACGCCGCGGUGAAUACGUUCCCGGGCCUUGUACACACCGCCCGUCACAUCACGAAAGCUGGCUGUACUAGAGAUCGCUGAGCGAACCCGCAAGGGACGCAGGCGCUUAAGGUAUGGUCAGUGAUUGGGGUG
rnacentral:rRNA from 1 species